CGUGGCUUCAUUCUUGAAGUCAGUGAGACCAAGAACCCACCAAUUUCGGACACACUAGGCUCUGACAAGCAACUCUGCAAAGCAGAAGUGAUGCUUGAAACCACAGCAGCCAUUUUGGGGCCACGAGGCAAUAAGCACAAGGAUAAAAAGCCAAGAACCAAAGAUGGAGAAUCAAGGGUGUAAUGAACCUAGAUGAUAUGAUAUGACAGAGUCCUGAACUGCUAGACUUCUUACUAGGAGUCCCAGUGUCUCCUGAGGAAAUCCCUUUCCCAUUCAGCCGGCAGCUGCAGCAGGUGGGAUGGGCCAGACCAGCCCUCUGGGGAUGCUGAUCCCAGGGAGCAUCCAGGCCGGAAGGUCCA
rnacentral:lncRNA from 1 species